ACUGGUGCGCGCGUACACGUGGUCGUUUGCACCUGUGGUGUAAAACUUUGUGGAUUUUGGCGAACGAGAGCUUGUUAAAAACAGAGAAUUCAAUUGUUGACACUGGAGAUUGAGUGGAUUCUCGGUAUUUCGUGAAAAUCUACAUUGCUUUAAGAGCUUGGAUAUCACAGUGGUUGCACACUUAUGAGGUUAGGUUAGAUUGAAUUAUUUCGGAUUUAAAGAACAAUGGAAAAUGAAUAGCCGUGAUUCUAAAAACUCUCGAGGACUUGAUUAAACGUAUUCACACGUUCUACAAUGAAUUUUUCAAUCAGAGGUCUGUGAAAUUAUGAUUAUCUUAUUUCGUUGGAAAGAAAAAAUCAGUUUGGUAAAAAUUUCAUAGUAUAUUGAUUAUCUAUACUGAGAAUGGAACACGGAUUAGUUUUCCGAUUUUAUCUAUUCGUUCGGCUUUGCUGAAAUCGGUUCGCGAUAUCGUGUAUAAUGUUGCUAUCGGAAAAGAUUUGAAUUUCGAAAUUUGGAAGUAUAAAAUUACAGCACGAUGAAUUAUUAGUCAUGCUACUUUUACCGUCAAAAAAGAAUAUGAAAAAUCUUUAUUGUAUUAUUUCAUCUUUCAAUACUUAACCUAAAAUUAUCCAAAAUUUCGCUCGUGCAAAUAUCAUCCUUCGCUAUUCGUACGAACUGAACAUCAUCGAUUCAUGAAGAGGUAUACCUAUUUAGAAGAUUGAACGUGGAGCACUGUUACCUUCGAGAAGUAGGAGUUUCUAUAAGGACUUCACCUUGGCAAUAUCUAAAGCGAAGAGGAGUUAAGGUCAAGGGAGCAUCCUCAGCGGGAAAGAGAGUGAGAUAUUAGUCCUUCGAGUCCCUCGAAAUUACAAACGAGAAAGCCGCGUCUAGAAUAGGCCGGCCGACCAGAAGAAUCGUUUUUUCCCGCGGAGAGAUUUGUGUCGACCAAGAGUUUCCUUAACUCUGGUAUCUGGGACUCGAAACUACCCACGUCUUAUCCUAUCCACCUACACG